CGGACGCCCUGGUACACCCUCGGUUUAUCUGCUGUGAGGAGAAAAGCAUGUCACUCAUGUUUACCCAACACCCUCCAUUAGAGCAGACAAUAGCAGACCCUUCUCCUCUCCACCCCACACUACCCCCUCCCUCCCCACCUCCUACUCCCUCAGUUCAAACCAACAAUGUGUUUUCUUCCCUUUAAAUUAAAACAAUAUAAAUAAAAUGCCAUACAUUAUUAUUUUUUCCCAAUAAGCUGCGAUCUCUUCAUGGCAUUAUCAUGUCCCCACACUCUCAUACAGCACUCUACUACACACGGUUGAACGUGCAUUUUAUGGUGGGAAAUAUAUAACAUGUUAUAAUAAACAUCAAACUGUCAUUUGAACCAUACUGUUGCGCUUUAAGGUCUAAUUUUUUGUCGAAACCGUGGUGCGUAAAAGUGCAUUAUCGGCGCUCAGUGCGGGCUGUGGCUCCGGGUAUUUUUGCCCGCAUGUUCCGACCCCAGCCCCCCUAGAGCCAACGGCCAGCGCUCCCUCUUUACGGCAGCUCGGCGCUCCCUACUUCGCCGUCAGCAGACUCUUGCACUGCAGCCUGUGUGUGCUCCGCGCUCUCAGCCUCCACGCCCAGACCAGGAACAAAGAAGCGGCACAAAAUGCGCCACUGAGAAAAUAAGCCACAAAACGAUUUCCAGAAGAAAAUCUGACUUCAAACUCACCAGGCAUGAUGGCUUUAGAUGAAGAGAGGCUCCCCUGGAGAAGACCUGUGGGACUCCACAACGUCCUUUUCUGCCUCAGCAAAAUGGCCAAGAACGAAAUUUGAGCAAAAGUCUCCAAAAAUCUCAACACAAAAGUCUUACAGCAGCGUCAGAGCAUACAACAAUAUAGUAAUAUAGCUGGGGACAUAUUAGUUUGAGAUUUUCUCCCUCCAUGCCUACUAUUUAAAACCCCUAGAACUCAAUGAUUUGACAAUGAUUUGAUUGCGCGUUACUUUCAAUUUGAAUAUUCAGAGGCAACAGACUUAUAUCGAUUUUUCAACAAAAAUCACCUCGCAUUGACAUUGUAUAAGCUUCACUUUAAUGUAAUAUAAUAGUAUUUUACACUUUGACCAAAAGAAACCAUACUUUUAUUAAUUUUAUCCUCCUUUUGCAAUAUCAGGGCAUCACACCCCCUCAUUAAGCACUGCAGCCCUGGCUGCCUCUUGUGCGUCUUAAACACCGCAAUUCACUUUAUAUCUGCGAACAUGCGCUUACUGCAGGCACUAUACACGCCAGCAAUAUAUUGAAUUGAUAUUUUUAAGCUUUAUUUAAAAAAAAACAUAUUAAAGUGGGGAAGAAGUGGGCGUGUCAAGGGCAGCCAUCUUUUUCUUCUCAGGUCUGGAGCUCUUGCAGCAAGUGGCUCUGAGCGCAUUCACCUGCUGAAGGCUGCAGGAGAGGACACAGCAGCUCUUAGCUUUUAUCACAUUAUCUUUUAGAAACUUUGAAUUAUUAAAAAGAAAAUCAAAUAUUUCAGAAUAAUUACAAAUUUGCCAGUGAAGAUCCACAGUUUGACACAUAUAUGUAUGGGUGUAUAUAUAUACACACAUGCAUAUAUAUAUAUAUAUAUAUAUAUAUUAGAAUAAGGGGUGCACAUGAUACUAACUAAUUUAAUAGAAAUUACAGCAAAAUACACAGUUUAUAAUAAUUAUUUUCUAUUUAGCCAGCUGUUACAUCUGAAACAAUGCAGUCUCUCUAACUGGUCAAACCUUAUCCCUUAAACCCCAUUAGGCUAUUAUUAUUACUAUAAUGAUCAGGACUAUAAUCAUAAUUACUACAACUAUAUGAGUAGUAAUAUUUGUUGCAGCAGCAGCAGCAGUAGUCAUACUCCAUAAAGAAAAUGUAAGAUUUGACCAAUAUUAGGCUACAUGUUUCUGUUUCAUAUUCGCUUAAAAGCUCUCUCCGGUCAUCUCAAGCACUUUUCAUAAAUUUCCCUCUUCACUACCUCACACACACUAAAAGACUUCUUCAACUCUGUCCUCUGCUCGUUCCAUCCAGCGGUGUUCUCCCUCACAGCGGCGGUGCAGGAUCUCCACCUAGCGGUCGGCCAUCGGAAACAACCAGCUCUGAGUGCGGUAGCAGUGUAUGGACGCACUUUACACCUUUAAUAAAAUGGAUUGGCUGAUAUGAAA